rnacentral:tRNA from 1 species
GGGGCUGUAACUCAGAGGGAGAGUGUCACAUUCGCAUUGUGAAGGCCGUGGGUUCAAAUCCCAUCAGCUCCACCA